AUUGAACGCUGGCGGCAGGCCUAACACAUGCAAGUAGAACGAGUGGCGGACGGGAGAGUAAUGUCUGGGAAACUGCCUGAUGGAGGGGGAUAACUACUGGAAACGGUAGCUGAUACCGCAUACCAUCAGAUGUGCCCAGAUGGGAUUAGCUAGUUGGUGGGGUAACGGCUCACCAAGGCGACGAUCCCUAGCUGGUCUGACAGGAUGACCAGCCACACGGUAACUGAGACACGGUCCAGACCCCUACGGGAGGAAGCAGUGGGGAAUAUUGCACAAUGGGCGCAAGCUUGAUGCAGCCAUGCGGCGUGUAUGAAGAAGGCCUUCGGGUGGUAAAGUACUUUCAGCGGGGAGGCGUUACCCGCAGAAGAAGCACCGGCUAACUCCGUGCCAGCAGCCGCGGUAAUUC
rnacentral:rRNA from 1 species